GUGGACUCUCAAGCGUGAGGUAAGGGCAUUUGGUGAAUGCCUUGGCAUGCAGAGGCGAUGAAGGACGUGGCACGCUGCGAUAAGCGUCGGGGAGCUGUGAGCAAGCUUUGAUCCGACGAUUUCCGAAUGGGGAAACCCACCCUCACCAUUUAAUUUCGCCGCCGAGCAAUCGACGACGAAGGUUAAAUGGGAAGGGUAUCACCGAGUUGAAUAAAAUAGACUUGGUGAAGCGAACCCGGGGAACUGAAACAUCUCAGUACCCGGAGGAAAGGACAUCAACAGAGACUCCCGUAGUAGUGGCGAGCGAACCGGGACCAGGCCAAUGCCUUCAAUUCAAGUAGCAGAACACCCUGGAAAGUGUGACCAUAGCGGGUGACAGUCCCGUAUGCGAAACUGAUGUUGAAGGAUUUGAGUAGGGCGGGGCACGUGUAACCCUGUCUGAACGUGGGGGGACCACCCUCCAAGCCUAAGUACUCCUGCAUGACCGAUAGUGAACCAGUACCGUGAGGGAAAGGUGAAAAGCACCCCGAUGAGGGGAGUGAAACAGUACCUGAAACCGAAUGCCUACAAGCAGUAGGAGGGUCCUUGAGGCCUGACUGCGUACCUCUUGCAUAAUGGGUCAGUGACUUAGUGUAUCAAGCAAGCUUAAGCCGUUAGGUGUAGGCGCAGCGAAAGCGAGUCUGAAUAGGGCGAAUGAGUUUGAUGCAUUAGACCCGAAACCCGGUGAUCUAGGCAUGACCAGGUUGAAGGUGCGGUAACACGCACUGGAGGACCGAACCGUUCAAUGUUGAAAAAUUGUCGGAUGAGUUGUGUUUAGGGGUGAAAGGCCAAUCAAACCGGGAAAUAGCUGGUUCUCCGCGAAAUCUAUUGAGGUAGAGCGUCGGAUGAAUACCUUGGGGGGUAGAGCACUGGAUGGAUGCGGGGGUCGCGAGAUCUACCAAUUCUAACCAAACUCCGAAUACCCAAGAGUAAUAUCCGGCAGACAGACGGCGGGUGCUAAGGUCCGUCGUCAAAAGGGAAACAGCCCUGACCUACAGCUAAGGUCCCCAAGUCACGUCUAAGUGGGAAAGCAUGUGGGAAUCCCAAAACAACCAGGAGGUUGGCUUAGAAGCAGCCAUCCUUUAAAGAAAGCGUAACAGCUCACUGGUCUAAAUAAGGGUUCCUGCGGCGAAAAUGUAACGGGGCUCAAGACGUGCACCGAAGCUUAGGGUGUGUAGUUUACUACACGCGGUAGCGGAGCGUUCCGUAGGCUGAUGAAGCGGUCUGGUAAUGGACCGUGGAGGUAUCGGAAGUGCGAAUGCUGACAUGAGUAGCGAUAAAGAGGGUGAGAUGCCCUCUCGCCGAAAUCCCAAGGGUUCCUGCUUAAAGCUAAUCUGAGCAGGGUAAGCCGGCCCCUAAGACGAGCCCGAAGGGGGUAGUCGAUGGGAACCACGUUAAUAUUCGUGGGCCUGGAGGUGUGUGACGGAUCUCGUAAAUUGUCUGAUCUUAUUGGAUUGGUCAGGCUUUGAAGAGGUUCCAGGAAAUAGCCCCUCCAUUAUAGACCGUACCCUAAACCGACACAGGUGGGAUGGUAGAGUAUACCAAGGCGCUUGAGAGAAGUCUCCUGAAGGAACUCGGCAAAUUGCCUCCGUACCUUCGGAAGAAGGAGGCCCCACAUUUGGGCAACCAUUUGUGGGGGGCACAGGCCAGGGGGUAGCGACUGUUUAGCAAAAACACAGGGCUCUGCUAAGUCGGCUUCAAGACGACGUAUAGGGCCUGACGCCUGCCCGGUGCCUGAAGGUUAAGUGGAGGGGUGCAAGCUCCGAAAUGAAGCCCAGGUAAACGGCGGCCGUAACUAUAACGGUCCUAAGGUAGCGAAAUUCCUUGUCGGGUAAGUUCCGACCUGCACGAAUGGCGUAACGACUUC
rnacentral:rRNA from 1 species